rnacentral:rRNA from 1 species
AAUCUGGCACCUUCGGUGUCCGAGUUGUAAUUUGAAGAAGGUAACUUUGGAGUUGGCUCUUGUCUAUGUUCCUUGGAACAGGACGUCACAGAGGGUGAGAAUCCCGUGCGAUGAGAUGCCCAAUUCUAUGUAAAGUGCUUUCGAAGAGUCGAGUUGUUUGGGAAUGCAGCUCUAAGUGGGUGGUAAAUUCCAUCUAAAGCUAAAUAUUGGCGAGAGACCGAUAGCGAACAAGUACAGUGAUGGAAAGAUGAAAAGAACUUUGAAAAGAGAGUGAAAAAGUACGUGAAAUUGUUGAAAGGGAAGGGCUUGAGAUCAGACUUGGUAUUUUGCGAUCCUUUCCUUCUUGGUUGGGUUCUCCGCAGCUUACUGGGCCAGCAUCGGUUUGGAUGGUAGGAUAAUGAUUAAGGAAUGUGGCUCUACUUCGGUGGAGUGUUAUAGCCUUGGUUGAUACUGCCUGUCUAGACCGAGGACUGCGUCUUUGACUAGGAUGCUGGCAUAAUGAUCUUAAGCCACCCGUCUUGA